rnacentral:lncRNA from 1 species
AUGUUGGGCUCUGCACUGUGGGGGCUCCUGGGUGAUGCCAGCGACCAGCACAGGGAAGUGCCCCUCACAUGGAUGGAACGACUGACUCUGACCCAGGACACCUGCGGCAGGGAUAAGAUUCUGCACUCUAGCAUCCUGCCAGCAGACAGUAACUAUGAGGAACCUGGGGCGCCUUUGAAUCCCUAUAGGGAAGUAGCCCCGUGAAUCUGCCCAGAUUCUGCUGGGAUCCCUGGACUCCAGAAAGAUAUCCCUUGUGCCCAGGAGUUCCCACCAUAUCUAAUGCACAGAACCUUUUGUCUGGGGGUGCACAAAACAGAAGUUUUCUCCCCGUGUUAUGGAAGGAGGAGACAGAAGAGAAGCAUCUUAGUCAUGAAUGUCUGAAACAAUUCGCCUUUGCAGCCUGCCCCCUUCCCCCAGGCCAACGCCACGCUGCAACAAGACUUUCUUUCAUCACCAGAUGGUUCUAUGCUUCAGCUGAAGUCUGUGAGUAUAAAACUGCACAGUAAAUUUUAAUUGUAAUUCAGUAGGUUAGAGUUUAGGUGCUGGUGAUGGAUUGCAAUUCGGAGUAUUUGAGUGAUCGCUUCUUGUUUUGAAAGGAUUGGUGUGUGACCAGGC